AAAUCGCACAUUCAAACCAAGCAUCCCGGACAUCCCAAACCGAGAUUCCCAGCUGAAUCUAUCCUUCUAAUAUCCCACAGAUCAGCUCCCCUAUUCCCAGCACCCCACGUAUCUUCUCCAUCUUCAUCUCCCCUGCUUCCAAAUCUCCCAGAUUUCUUCUCAGCCACAUCCUGCCAACGGCGACAUCCCAACCUCCUACGGAUUCGAUAUAAGCUUCAAGUCCCAGCUGCCAGCCUAUCCACGGAUAAGCUCCAUCUCCUUUUCAUCAUGAAGUAGAUCCAGCUUCUUCCGGAUCAUUCCAUCAUCCAAGAUUUCUUUCCAACAUCCAUGCAAUCUUCCAACAUCUCAGGAUUCCUCCCAGCUGCAACCAGUUCAUUCCCAGUCGUAUCCAAGCUCUUCUACCAUAUUCCCCCUGUGACUCAAACUUCCACACGUGGAUCCCAGCACUCCUUCUCCCCGAGCAUCACGGAAGAGCUCUCCCUCCCCUGCAUCAUGGAUCCUCUUCUUCUUCCACGAUAAGAUCCAGCUCCUUGCGGCCAUGUUCAUCUUCCAGCCUUGCAUCCGUUCCCAGCUGUCAGCCGAGAUCCC
rnacentral:lncRNA from 1 species